rnacentral:rRNA from 1 species
GAUGAACGCUGGCGGCGUGCCUAAUACAUGCAAGUCGAGCGAACGGACGAGAAGCUUGCUUUUCUGAUGUUAGCGGCGGACGGGUGAGUAACACGUGGAUAACCUACCUAUAAGACUGGGAUAACUUCGGGAAACCGGAGCUAAUACCGGAUAAUAUUUUGAACCGCAUGGUUCAAAAGUGAAAGACGGUCUUGCUGUCACUUAUAGAUGGAUCCGCGCUGCAUUAGCUAGUUGGUAAGGUAACGGCUUACCAAGGCAACGAUGCGUAGCCGACCUGAGAGGGUGAUCGGCCACACUGGAACUGAGACACGGUCCAGACUCCUACGGGAGGCAGCAGUAGGGAAUCUUCCGCAAUGGGCGAAAGCCUGACGGAGCAACGCCGCGUGAGUGAUGAAGGUCUUCGGAUCGUAAAACUCUGUUAUUAGGGAAGAACAAAUGUGUAAGUAACUAUGCACGUCUUGACGGUACCUAAUCAGAAAGCCACGGCUAACUACGUG